rnacentral:lncRNA from 1 species
AACGGCAAAGGAGGCAACAGGGACGAACUUUGUUAUUCACUAUCCAAUGAGCGCAACAAAAGUGUCGAAAAUUACAGCGAACAAAUAGCAGCAAUUUGGAGCAUACAGCAGCAAACUCGUAACAAACAGAAACCCAGAAACUUGAAACCAAAGACAAAGAUAGAAGUUGUUUCUAUGCAACUUCCUCCAAACUAACAAGACCUUAAAAGGAAACUAUCUGGAAAAAUCUUUAGUAUUUUGCAAGCUCA